rnacentral:rRNA from 1 species
UGGGGAAUAUUGGACAAUGGGGGGAACCCUGAUCCAGCCAUGCCGCGUGUGUGAAGAAGGCCUUAUGGUUGUAAAGCACUUUAAGCGAGGAGGAGGGUACUGGUAUUAAUACUACCAGGUACUGGACGUUACUCGCAGAAUAAGCACCGGCUAACUCUGUGCCAGCAGCCGCGGUAAUACAGAGGGUGCGAGCGUUAAUCGGAUUUACUGGGCGUAAAGCGUGCGUAGGCGGCUAAUUGAGUCGGAUGUGAAAUCCCCGAGCUUAACUUGGGAAUUGCAUUGGAUACUGGUUAGCUAGAGUGUGGGAGAGGAUGGUAGAAUUCCAGGUGUAGCGGAGAAAUGCGUAGAGAUCUGGAGGAAUACCGAUGGCGAAGGCAGCCAUCUGGCCUAACACUGACGCUGAGGUACGAAAGCAUGGGGAGCAAACAGG